AUGCACCCAAAAAUGUUCCUCAGAACUUCGAAGCUGGAUUCUCUGCUGUUAGUCUUGAUUCCCCAUGUCAAGUGACUCUUCCAUCGAUUCAGAACCAAAAUAUUCACUUUCCAGUGUUUCAAGUUCCUCCAUCAAUGAGUUAUUACCAUCAAAACUCAGUUUCAUGGCCAGCAGCUGCCCAUGCAAGUGGAAUGAUGCCUUUCUCCUA
rnacentral:misc_RNA from 1 species